rnacentral:lncRNA from 1 species
UUAAAAAACAUUUUAUCCUUUUCUUUUUUUCUAGAACUGAAAGGGGCACAUGGCAGAUAUAAUCAUAAACUUUCAUUUCGCAGAGCAGUAAAAAAGGAGAAGAAGAACACACUGGUACUCCAACAAGUCAUAGUUUCUGCCAGAUGUUGCAAAAAUCAAAUGUCCACAGAAACCCAAUCAGCAACACUACUUUCAAAGUGUCUUUUGACAAGUAAUAUGUGCAUUUUACAAAUCCAAAGGCAAUAUUUGAAGUAGCUCUUCAAAACAGCUGCAUUACUCAAAGCUAUCUCUGUAUCAUCACCUUGUUUCCUGGAAGAAAAUGUGGAAAUGUGUACUGAAAAUGUGUAAAUGAUUAAAGCAUCAGUAUAAAGAAAAAACAUUCUGAAGAUGAAUAAAAAUUAUUUUGAGGGCUUGUUGAAAAACCAAACACCAGAUGUCCACGGCUGA